rnacentral:rRNA from 1 species
GACGUAGGGCGCGAGCGUUAUCCGGAAUUAUUGGGCGUAAAGAGCUCGUAGGCGGUUUGUCGCGUCUGCCGUGGAAGUCCGGGGCUCAACUCCGGAUCUGCGGUGGGUACGGGCAGACUAGAGUGAUGUAGGGGAGACUGGAAUUCCUGGUGUAGCGGUGAAAUGCGCAGAUAUCAGGAGGAACACCGAUGGCGAAGGCAGGUCUCUGGGCAUUAACUGACGCUGAGGAGCGAAAGCGUGGGGAGCGAACAGG